rnacentral:rRNA from 1 species
GCGGACGGGUGAGUAACACGUAGGCAACCUGCCCGUAAGCCGGGGAUAACUGCGGGAAACCGGAGCUAAUACCGGAUAGAGCCGCCGCACCGCAUGGUGCGGCGGGGAAAGGUGGCGCAAGCCACCACUUACGGAUGGGCCUGCGGUGCAUUAGCUGGUUGGCGGGGCAACGGCCCACCAAGGCGACGAUGCAUAGCCGACCUGAGAGGGUGAACGGCCACAUUGGGACUGAGAGACGGCCCAAACUCCUACGGGAGGCAGCAGUAGGGAAUCUUCCGCAAUGGACGCAAGUCUGACGGAGCAACGCCGCGUGAGCGAAGAAGGUUUUCGGAUCGUAAAGCUCUGUUGCCGGAGAAGAACGGGCGGGUGAGGCAAUGCACCCGUCGUGACGGUAACCGGCCAGAAAGCCACGGCUAACUACGUGCCAGCAGCCGCGGUAAUACGUAGGUGGCAAGCGUUGUCCGGAAUUAUUGGGCGUAAAGCGCGCGCAGGCGGCCCCUUAAGUCUGAUGUGAAAGACUGCGGCUUAACCGCAGAGGGGCAUUGGAAACUGAGGGGCUUGAGUGCAGAAGAGGAGAGCAGAAUUCCACGUGUAGCGGUGAAAUGCGUAGAGAUGUGGAGGAAUACCGGUGGCGAAGGCGGCUCUCUGGUCUGUGACUGACGCUGA